AGCAUCGUGGCUCAGUGGUUAGCACUGUUGCCUCGCAGCAAGAAGGUUCUGGGUUUGAAUCCCAGCCGUCCCA